CCUACGGGUGGCAGCCGUGAGGAAUAUUGGUCAAUGGACGCGAGCCUGAACCAGCCAAGUAGCGUGAAGGAUGACUGCCCUACGGGUUGUAAACUUCUUUUAUAAAGGAAUAAAGUGAGGCACGUGUGCCUUUUUGUAUUUACUUUAUGAAUAAGGAUCGGCUAACUCCUUGCCAGCAGCCGCUGUAAUACGGAGGAUCCGAGCGUUAUCCGGAUUUAUUUGGUUUAAAGGGAGCGUAGAUGGGUUGUUAAGUCAGUUGUGAAAGUUUGCGGCUCAACCGUAAAAUUGAAAUUGAUACUGGCAGUCUUGAGUACAGUUGAGGUAGGCGGAAUUCGUGGUGUAGCGGUGAAAUGCUUAGAUAUCACGAAGAACUCCGAUGGCGAAGGCAGCUUACUAAACUGUGACUGACAUUGAUGCUCGAAAGUGUGGGUAUCAAACAGGAUUAGAUACCCUUGUAGUC
rnacentral:rRNA from 1 species